rnacentral:rRNA from 1 species
UAAUACGAAGGCCCCGAGCGUUAUCCGGAUUUAUUGGGCGUAAAGCGUUCAACGGUGGCUCCGCACGUCUCCGGUUAAAUCUCAUGGCUCAACCAUGAAACUGCCGGUGAUACGACGGAGCUCGAGGACGGGAGAGGUACAUGGAAUUACCGGUGUAGCGGUAAAAUGCGUUAAUAUCGGUAAGAACACCAAUAGCGAAGGCAAUGUACUGGAACGAUCCUGACACUAAACGAACGAAAGCGUGGGGAGCGAAUGGGAUUAGAUACCCCAGUAGUCCACGCCGUAAACGAUGGAUGUUAGAUGUUGCGAGUAUCGACCCUCGCAGUAUCGUUAGCUAACGCGAUAAACAUCCCGCCUGGGGAGUACGGCCGCAAGGCUA